AGUGUAAGUUUCACAUUUCAUUUAUUAAAAUGUACUUAUAAGUCCUGCUGAAAGAAAAUCUUGUGUUGAUCAUUUUUUGUUUUGCCUUUAUGAGGCUAAAAUCAUGACAGACUGACAACAGUU